CGACGCGUCUUGGUUAUUGAUGUUGGAUGCUUGCAUUUAACUGAUUUCCAUUGAGACGAGUGGCGAACUGGUGAGUAACACGUGGGUAACCUGCCCUUGAAGUAGGGGAUAACACUUGGAAACAGGUGCUAAUACCGUAUAACAACCAAAACCACCUGGUUUUGGUUUAAAAGAUGGCUUCGGCUAUCACUUUAGGAUGGACCCGCGGCGUAUUAGCUUGUUGGUAAGGUAACGGCCUACCAAGGCAAUGAUACGUAGCCGACCUGAGAGGGUAAUCGGCCACAUUAGGACUGAGACACGGCCCAAACUCCUACGGGAGGCAGCAGUAGGGAAUCUUCCACAAUGGACGAAAGUCUGAUGGAGCAACGCCGCGUGAGUGAUGAAGGGUUUCGGCUCGUAAAACUCUGUUGUUGGAGAAGAACAGGUGUGAGAGUAACUGUUCACAUCUUGACGGUAUCCAACCAGAAAGCCACGGCUAACUACGUGCCAGCAGCCGCGGUAAUACGUAGGUGGCAAGCGUUGUCCGGAUUUAUUGGGCGUAAAGCGAGCGCAGGCGGUUUCUUAGGUCUGAUGUGAAAGCCUUCGGCUUAACCGGAGAAGUGCAUCGGAAACCAGGAGACUUGAGUGCAGAAGAGGACAGUGGAACUCCAUGUGUAGCGGUGAAAUGCGUAGAUAUAUGGAAGAACACCAGUGGCGAAGGCGGCUGUCUGGUCUGUAACUGACGCUGAGGCUCGAAAAGCAUGGGUAGCGAACAGGAUUAGAUACCCUGGUAGUCCAUG
rnacentral:rRNA from 1 species